AGGAAAUUUAACCAGAAACAUGCAAAGUAACCUCAAGCAUUGCCAAGUAAUAUAUCUGUCUACACAAUAUUUAUACAUGUGUGGAUGAUUAGGCACAUGCAGGCAUGGUCAGUACAAGUCUAGGGAUUUGAGUUACCGGUCAGAAUCAUGCAAGUUUGUCCAGUCGGGGCAUGACCACUGAAUGCACAAGCCUGCUUAUCACUUCCUAUACAGUAUCUUUCCCAUAGGUGGUGUACAUGUUAUGUCACCAUCGCCAUGUUGGAUUACAUUGACAAAGGAUUUUGCUUGUUUGCAAUGUAGAUUUCAUCCAACAUGGCAAAAAUUUCUUUGUCCUUUGAAUCCCAUGGGAUUGGUUGCACAUCACUUACAAGCUUCGUACCCAAGUUCCCUUGCAGUUAUUUGUCGUACCCAGACUGUGAGCAAUUUUUAUAUUUACCUUGGUUAGUGUGUAACUUCAAUUAACAAGGUCUUUUUAUCAAAAGGCAAUGGCUGAGGAAAAUGCACAACUAUAUAUGUUCUUGCCAGAACCUGUGCUCUGUGAUUUUGGUGCAGAACUCUAUAACCAAGUUGGCUACAUCAUUGAAAUGGAAGUUGGUUACAGUAUUGAAAUGGAAUCACAAGAUUAUGGUCAAUGACUGAAUUUAUACAAGAG